ensembl:lncRNA
CCAGCCUUCAGAGCUCCAACUGCAGUCCCAUCAUAAUCAUUUUAGACUCCAAAGCAGUGACAGCAUUGGAUGCAUAAUUUUCAACACAUGUUUUAUUAAUCCAUUCUUCCUGUGCUUCAUUUAAAAUACUGGAAACUAUAAAAAGAUAAGCGUGUUACUCCUCUGCCAGGAAAAAGGGAAGAAAAAAAAAAAAAACUAACCAGAAAAUAUGAAAAAAAAAAAAAGAAAGAAAGAAAGAAACCAAAAAACCAGAGCAACUGGAAUCUCGGUCUUGAGGAAACACAUGGGAUUGAAGCAUCCGCUGGAGCUCUGUCACCGACUGUCAUCUGUGACUCUGGCGCUGAAGCCUCCAGGCCGGAGCGAGGAGGCUGUGCGUGCAAGCCGGGCUCCAUAGUCCACUGGUGAAAUUCUUCCAAAAGCUUGUUGGAACAAAUCCCGAACAGCGUCCGUCCACGGUGACUUAGAGAUGACCUCCACUCAGAGUUUUACGUCGGUCGUACCGAGCUCGCCUCUUCCUUGGGCCCACGUGUGGGCAGGUUAUCAUUUCAGUGUGUGUGAGACCUUGGCACACACCCAUAACUGGGGUGACGCAGAUCAGGUUGGGAUUUGGCGGUAUGUUUGGACCUUGAGUGGCUUUACUGUAAAAGCCAGAGAACGUCCGUAUCUGCCAUCUCGCUUCCUGAUUAGAUGCCGCGUGCAUUUUCAGUCUGUCAGUACCCUUUGCGAGGUCCUGGGAUACAUUUACAUUGCGAAUAGCCGGAUUCUUGAGCGGUCCUGCUAGUUUCCUCCUGAGGUUCAGCGCAGAGAGGAAUACCGACAGUAUUUCUUCAGGUGUAGCCCACAGGCCAUCUGCAUGGAGGGUGCCUGGCGAUAUUUGGUCAAAAGCCAGGUUCUUAGACCUCACUCCAAACUGCAAACUCAGAGUGUCCUGGGUUAGGGUCUGGAAAUCAGCCCGUAAAGGAUUCUGAUGUACACUUAGAUUUGUAAACUGCUAGGUAGAGGAUGAGGCUAAUGAGGUAUCCUGUUAAGACCAGGAGAAAUCUUUAUACUCAAAAACACACUGCUCGAAAGUCGAUAUUGAAGUUCUGAUGCCAG